GCAGCCCCUGGGUCUGUGCAGUGACCAGCCAGUCCCUGAGAACUUUCCCCUCCAGCACCCGGGAAAAUGGGAUUUUUGCUCCUGUUCAUUUUCGCUGUAGCGGCUUUGGAAGGUGUCCGGUCCCAGGUGCAGCUGGUGGAGUCCGGAGGGGAUGUGAAAAAGCCCGGAGACUCUCUCCGCCUCUCCUGCAAAGCCUCCGGCUUCACCUUCAGCAGCGCCUACAUGAGCUGGGUCCGGCAGGCUCCCGGGAAGGGGCUGGAAUGGGUCUCACUCAUUUACACUGAUGGGAGCCAACAAUUUUACGCAGACUCAGUGAAAGGCCGAUUCACCAUCUCCAGGGACAACCCCAACAACCUGCUGUAUCUGCAAAUGACCGGCCUGAAGCCCGAGGACACCGCCCGCUAUUACUGUGCGGGAGAAUGGGACCAGAACAAUCCCAGCCCUUGGAGAAGCUGGGUGUGCCAGGAAGAAGCUGCUCCAGGAAAGGGGCUGGAGUGGCUGAUUUAUUAUUAUUCAUCGUCUGACAACAGCUACUCCCCGGCAAUCCAGGGGCGAUUCACAGCCUCCAAGGACCGCUCCAAUUUCUACCUACACAUGACCGGCCUGGAAGCGGAGGACACCGCCGUGUAUUACUGUGCGAGACACAGCGAGGGGAAGCCGGGCUGA